UCAGUUAAUGGAAAAUCUGCCUUUCAAGAGAUCACUUCAGAGCACCACAUAGUAUAUGCAGCUACUCUUGACAGCCUCAGCAGCAGGUUGCAACAGCAGCAGAGACCAAAGGGUGUCGCAGCUCUCAGUCGCACAAGCUGGCCGUCGCACAGCUCUCAGCGCAGAAGUCGAUUUAUAAGGCAACUGAGGAAUCUCAACAUCUAAAAAAGUUGAUACAAGACUAUACUUCUUCUUUCAUCAAAGUAGGAGAUAAGUUAGACUCGAAGAGGUGAUGUUUGGAAGGCUGUUGGCAUGAUGCAACACUUCAUUUGUAAUUUGUAAUGUUUGUCACUCUAGUUAUUUUUUAUGAAAUUUGAUUCAUGUUUUUGUUUUAUUAAUCCUAUAAUUUGAUUUUAGAUAGAAAUUUUUUUUCCAGCAAAAACAUUCUGA